GCUCCCAGCAGCCCCAGCAACUGCUCAAGAGCUCAGGAGCAGGACACAUGACCAGUCAGGUGGUGAGACCAGUGACAGUUGGGAGAAAGUGUUGGUUGGUGAGAGCUGAGCUGAGGUAAUCUUGAGAGGAGAGCUAUGCCAUCAAGUGUGUGCUGAGGUGGCGUGGGGGUGACGGAGGAGAUGGAGGCAGACCUUCCUACCACAAGGGUGGUCAGAGAGAUGGCUUUACCCCCAUGCAAGGCAAGUCUGGGGGUGCAGAUGUAAUAAGAGUGAUCGCAGCAGCUUCCAUAGCGGCAGUGGGUGAAGACUUUAUCUGGAGCCCUGGCAGUUGGUAAUGCCUCAGAGUGGACCAGGCCUCCCCAAUUAAGGCAAGAGGUGGGCAGCAGUAACAAAGGAAUAGUCCGUGGGACCAGAUUGUCCGGAAAGAUACCCAGUAUCCCACACUGACAGCUACGGACAGCAUGGAGACCUAACACAGACACUUGGAGAGGUCGAGGUUCGAGAUAAAGCAUACCAUCGAGCAACGAUAUGCCAUCAAGUUUUGUGUUAAACUCGUGAAAUCGGGUACAGAGACGCUUGCCAUGCUUCAAAAGGCCUUCAGGGAGGAACACUUGUCCAAGGCGCAAGUUUACAGCUGGUUUACAUUCUUUGAGGAGUGCAGAGAAGACAUUAAGGACGAACCAUGCUCUGGACGACUUCAACAAGCGAAAUGAUCAAAAUGUGGACAAAGUGCGCAACGUUUUGAACACUGACCGUCGUUUGAGUGUUAGAAUGGUAGCAGAAAGGUUGGGAAUACCAAAAACUUCUGUGCAAGAAAUCUUGACAAACGAGUUAGUGAUGUGAAAGGACUCAAGGCGCUGUACUCCUGCAUCUGGUUGUGUUAACUGAUACUGAUGUGGGUGCCGAACUCAAUUUGUCAGCAAGCACAUUACUAUCAGUGACAGAAGAUGUUCUUUCCCCACUGUUUCUGCUGGAAGUAAGCACUGAGCAGAAGGGUUAAUUUUCUACUUUAGUGGAUGGAUAUUCUCCUUGAGGUGUUAGAUGGACAAAUGAUCUCCCAGACGCAUCAUGUCUUUUCUUCUACAACACCUUUUUAUUAUUACUUUUUGGCACUGGUAGUGUUGCAUGUGAGAAUGUUGAAAAUAGAUAAAUCAUGUUUUUACAGGUUACAGGCCUGUCUAACUUGUCUCUUUCUCCUUAUAUCUAUACUCCUGCAUUGUACCUUAGUUUACCCCUGAGAAUUAUCAAAGUAUUUGUGUAAUAAAACCU